ensembl:snRNA U6 U6 spliceosomal RNA
AUGCUUGCUUCGGCAGCACAUGUACUAAAAUUGGAACGAUACAGAGAAGAUUAGCAUGGUCCCUGUGCAAGGGUGACACAUAAAUUUGUGAAGGAAGCUGGGCAUGG